GUCUUUAACUUUGUUUACCUACAUAAAAGGCAAGCUCAAAUGACCAGAAAUUGCAUUCAUUCUGGAAUAGCAGAGGAAUUGCACUUCAGGGAACACUUGCUGUAGCAAGCUGCCGAACCAGUCACAUCUAGGGCCCCACCCUAAAUUGCCACAUUAGCAUAAACUCAGGCUUCCUGGUGGUUCAUUGGUAAAGAAUCUGCCUGCAGUGCAGGAGACUUGCAGGAGACACAGGUUCUAUCCCUGGAUUGGGAAGAAAGGAAAUGGCAGCCCACUCCAGUAUUCUUGCCUGGAAAAUCCCAUGAACAGAGGAGCUUGGCGGGCUACAGUUUAUGCAGUUGCAAAGAGUCGGACAUGAAUGAGCAACUAAACAACAGAAUUGAUGCUUUUAAACUGUGGAUUUGGAGAAGACUCUUGAGAGUCCCUUGGACAGCAAGGAGAUCCAAACAGUCCAUCCUAAAGGAAAUCAGUCUUGAAUAUUCAUUGGAAGGACUGAUGCUGAAGCUGAAACUCCCAUACUUUGGCCAUCUGAUAGAAAAGAUCCUGAUGCUGGGAAAGAUUGAAGAGUGAAAAAGAAGUGUGCAUUCAAAAGCUGCACAUUUCCCAGCCAUUCCUGUGGUGGGCUCUAUAGCCUGUGGAGUCGGCAGCCUGCUGAAGGACACUCAAGACGUGUGAGGCAGCACAGUGAGUUGGGGUGGAGUGGAGACAGAGUUUUUCUCUACUGUGCAAGCCUGCAUGGCAGCAGAGGAAGAAAAAAAUAAAACACCCUUCUUUGAAUGCCUGCUCUCCUUCCCUGAAGGCAAGGAAACCAUACACACCUAAACGGAAGUCUCAUGCACCAGGAAUAAGCAUGUUUUUAAGGACUCCUUGUUGAUGCAACUGACACACAGAGAAGAAAAAGGGGAAUAGACAACUAUUUGAUAUUUCUAUAUCAAAAUAAAUCAGCAACCUACCUUUCAAGCAUCAAAUUAAUACGAAACUGUUCACAAAGCAAUCUUGCCAAAAGGAGAAAAUAUCAAAUAUUUGGAAACAUUCAACCCAAAAUGAAACUGCAUGAAGUAGAAACAUUUGGACUGAGUGUUGAUUGGAAACAAAGGAACAUCUACGAGCUUUAUGGAGGUUUGAGAUCUUCAGCUCAAAGACCUUCUCCUCAGAGGUGUUUCCCUGAUCACCUGAACGAAAGCAGCCUCCUGGUUCGCAGUCAGUGUAUCUCAUCGUGUUGCUCUGUUUUACUUUUUCCACAGCACAUGUCAUCUGAAAUUAUCUUGUUUUUGUGUUUGUUUUCUGUAGCAUGUCCUUAAGUGCAGGCAUCCUGCCUUAUUUUCCUCGGUGUCCCAGCUCCUUGGCACAGGAAGUGCUCAGUACAUACUUAUUGACAAAGUGACAGGGUGAAUAUCACGCAUGGCUCAUUGGAGCUAGUUCCUCAAAACAUUUUUCAUGAUGGAAAAGUGUCAGAAAAAAAAACAUUCACUCUGUUCAGGAUUUACCUCAAAAGAAUGAUUGGAGAAUUGCCACAGUAUAGUCGUGAACAGCACAGAAACUUCAGAAUACCUGAAUGUAUCUCCUGUAGAACCUGGAAAAGCGCCUACUAAAGAUCUAUCAAGUGAAAAUUUCAGGAUUUAGUUCAAGUUUGUGCUCAUAGCAUUAAGAACGCAUUAUUUAUUUUGAAACACUCAGGCAGUGUAGCAGAAGAAUGAGAGAUGAGAUUCCUUUUAAAAUAAAUGCCAUGCUUAAAGAAUGCCUAUACUUACUAAGCUCAAAAAAUAUUUUCUUCUGUCUCCCAUGAAAGCAUAAAUCUAUUCAAAGUCUUUAAAAUGAAGCAUGGCACAUAAUUUGUUCUCUUUGGUUGCUUUAUACAACAGCACAGAGGGUGGAAGCAAAGAUGGUAGUUCUGAUUCAAACUCUGCCGCUCACUUGCUUGAGUAGAUCACUUAAUAUCUGUGCACAAUUAGAAAGGCAAUAACACCCAUCAAUAUUCUUGCCCUUCCCAGAGUGGCUGUUACACUCCAGGCAUGUAACCUGUAAGAAAGUGCUGAGUUUUAGUGCUAAAUAUUAAGAGUUGUAAGGAUAGUAAUUUUUUUUACAUUGAUGAUAAAAGGAUGUGUCAACCUAAAUAAAGAGAUAAACUGAGGCAAGCUCAAAUUACUAGUAAUUGUGUUGUGUUCACUGGUUAGGAGAUGAGUCUCAGCCUUCUGUAGAUCAGGCUUUUGGAUCUUAAGUUCAGUUUUUCUGAGGGCGAAUGCAUGAGUGUCUCCAUUUCAUAUCCUCCAGUUCCAUUUCAGAUCAAGAUCCUUUCACAGAUGUGAUAUUAUGACUUUGGUGGAGAAUGUAAUUCUAUUUCAGUGGUUAUAGCAAAGCACUUAACUGCCAGAACUAGCCAUACUGCUUGCCUUGAAGAGCAAAUGAAGUGGUAAAUGCAAGAAAUGGGGACAGAAUAGAAGCUGAAAUUAUGGAGUCAUUGCUGUGCUCAGGGGGUCAGAUCUCAGCAGUGUGUUUAUCAGAAAUUUAGCAACUGGGAAUAGAUACCUAGAAAUCUAAUUAUAAGAUCUCUUAUCUACAGUAAGAGAGCUAAAUUGGAAAAUUAUCUCCUGAUCCCUCCUACUUAUUUCCAUUAACAUUCAAAUAGUCAAUGUUUUCCUACUCCACUCGUUCUCUUCCAGCGUAUCAAGGCUUUUUCUCACACUGAAAAAUUCUAUUUUCCCUCAUGAAAACUUACUUCCUGAGCCAUCAGCUUUCAUGGUUUACAAGAAAACAGGCUAAAAUGUUAUUAUCUUUGGAUCAUAAGAUUAUGAGUAACAUUUUCUUAUUUUAUUUUUCUGUUGUACCAAAUUUUCCAUAAUGAGCAUUUAUGCUUUUCAUUGUAAGAAGAAAAACAAGGAAGCAGAUUAAUUUAGCCAACAUUACUGAAAGAGUAUUUUAUUUU
ensembl:lncRNA